rnacentral:rRNA from 1 species
UACGUAGGUGGCAAGCGUUGUCCGGAUUUACUGGGCGUAAAGAGCGCGCAGGCGGUCGUUCAAGUCGCGUGUGAAAGCCCCCGGCUCAACUGGGGAGGGUCACGCGAUACUGAUCGACUCGAAGGCAGGAGAGGGUAGUGGAAUUCCCGGUGUAGUGGUGAAAUGCGUAGAUAUCUGGAGGAAUACCGGUGGCGAAGGCGGGUCUCUGGACAGUUCCUGACGCUGAGGCACGAAGGCCAGGGGAGCAAACGGG